rnacentral:rRNA from 1 species
GAUGAACGCUGGCGGCGUGCUUAACACAUGCAAGUCGAGCGAAGCAGUUAAGAAGAUUCUUCGGAUGAUUCUUAACUGACUGAGCGGCGGACGGGUGAGUAACGCGUGGGUGACCUGCCCCAUACCGGGGGAUAACAGCUGGAAACGGCUGCUAAUACCGCAUAAGCGCACAGAGCUGCAUGGCUCGGUGUGAAAAACUCCGGUGGUAUGGGAUGGGCCCGCGUCUGAUUAGGCAGUUGGCGGGGUAACGGCCCACCAAACCGACGAUCAGUAGCCGGCCUGAGAGGGCGACCGGCCACAUUGGGACUGAGACACGGCCCAAACUCCUACGGGAGGCAGCAGUGGGGAAUAUUGCACAAUGGGGGAAACCCUGAUGCAGCGACGCCGCGUGAGCGAAGAAGUAUUUCGGUAUGUAAAGCUCUAUCAGCAGGGAAGAUAAUGACGGUACCUGACUAAGAAGCCCCGGC